rnacentral:rRNA from 1 species
UACGUAGGGGGCGAGCGUUGUCCGGAUUUAUUGGGUUUAAAGGGUGCGUAGGCGGUCUAUUAAGUCAGUGUUUAAAUUUUGCAGCUUAACUGUAGGUAUGGCAUUGAUACUGAUGGACUUGAAUAUUAUAGAGGUAGCUGGAAUUUAUGGUGUAGCGGUGAAAUGCAUAGAUACCAUAAGGAACACCGAUAGCGGAGGCAGGUUACCAUGUGAUUAUUGACGCUGAGGCACGAAAGUGUGGGGAUCAAACAGG